rnacentral:rRNA from 1 species
GACGAACGCUGGCGGCGUGCUUAACACAUGCAAGUCGAACGGAAAGGCCUGCUUUCCCUUGUGGAUUGCGGGUACUCGAGUGGCGAACGGGUGAGUAACACGUGAGUGAUCUGCCCCCAACUUGGGUAUAAGCCUGGGAAACUGGGUCUAAUUCCCGAUAGGACUGCAGGGUGGUGCCUGUGGUGGAAAACGAUUUUCUAGUGGUUGGGGAUGAGCUCGCGGCCUAUCAGCUUGUUGGUGGGGUAAUGGCCUACCAAGGCGGCGACGGGUAGCCGGCCUGAGAGGGUGGACGGCCACAUUGGAACUGAGAUACGGCCCAGACUCCUGCGGGAGGCAGCAGGGGGGAAUAUUGCACAAUGGGCGGAAGCCUGAUGCAGCGACGCCGCGUGGGGGAUGACGGCCUUCGGGUUGUAAACUCCUUUCGACCGCGAGGAAGCCACCUGGUUGGAAGGGUGGUGACGGUAGUGGUAGAAGAAGCACCGGCUAACUACGUG